rnacentral:rRNA from 1 species
UAACUGGCGGCAGGCUUACCAUGCUAGUCCAACGAUGAAAUCUAGCUUGCUAGAUGGAUUAGUGGCGAACGGGUGAGUAAUGCUUAGGAAUCUGCCUAUUAGUGGGGGAUAACCAUCCGAAAGGAUGGCUAAUACCGCAUACGUCUUACGAGAGAAAGGGGGCUUUUAGCUCUCGCUAAUAGAUGAGCCUAAGUCGGAUUAGCUAGUUGGUGGGGUAAAGGCCUACCAAGGCGACGAUCUGUAGCUGGUCUGAGAGGAUGAUCAGCCACACUGGGACUGAGACACGGCCCAGACUCCUACGGGAGGCAGCAGUGGGGAAUAUUGGACAAUGGGCGAAAGCCUGAUCCAGCCAUGCCGCGUGUGUGAAGAAGGCCUUUUGGUUGUAAAGCACUUUAAGUGGGGAGGAAAAGCUUGUGGUUAAUACCCAUUAGCCCUGACGUUACCCACAGAAUAAGCACCGGCUAACUCUGUGCCAGCAGCCGCGGUAAU